GACGAACCGUGCAAACGUUGUUCGGAAUCACUGGGCUUAAAGGGCGCGUAGGCGGCAGAUCAAGUCCGGGGUGAAAUCCUCCAGCUCAACUGGAGAAGUGCCUUGGAUACUGAUGUGCUCGAGGGAGGUAGGGGUCCGCGGAACUUCUGGUGGAGCGGUGAAAUGCGUUGAUAUCAGAAGGAACGCCGGUGGCGAAAGCGGCGGACUGGAUCUCUUCUGACGCUGAGGCGCGAAAGCUAGGGGAGCAAACGGG
rnacentral:rRNA from 1 species